rfam:Apaloderma vittatum contig43716, whole genome shotgun sequence.
GGUCCGGUUACCUCAGUCAGCUGAGCGUAGCGCUAACAACGCUAAGGUCGCGGGUUCGAUUCCCAUUCGGUCCC